UCAGGACGAACGCUGGCGGCGUGCCUAACACAUGCAAGUCGAGCGGGGACAUGCGACGGAGUCGAAGUUUCGGAUGGAGACAAAGAUGUAUGUUCUAGCGGCGGACGGGUGAGUAACGCGUGAGCAACCUGUCCCUUACAGGGGGAUAACACAGCGAAAGUUGUACUAAUACCGCAUAAGACCACGGCAGGACAUCCUGCAGGGGGUCAAAGGAGCAAUCCGGUAAGGGGUGGGCUCGCGUCCGAUUAGAUAGUUGGUGAGGUAACGGCCCACCAAGUCAACGAUCGGUAGCCGACCUGAGAGGGUGAUCGGCCACAUUGGGACUGAGACACGGCCCAAACUCCUACGGGAGGCAGCAGUGGGGAAUAUUGGGCAAUGGGGGGAACCCUGAACCCCAGCAACGCCGCGUGAGGGAAGAAGGUUUUCGGAUCGUAAACCUCUGUCCUUGGUGAAGAGUGAGAGACGGUAGCCAAGGAGGAAGCCCCGGCUAACUACGUGCCAGCAGCUGC
rnacentral:rRNA from 1 species